rnacentral:rRNA from 1 species
UACGGGGGGGGCAAGCGUUGUUCGGAAUUACUGGGCGUAAAGGGCGCGUAGGCGGGUGGACAAGUCUCUCGUGAAAGCCCACGGCUCAACCGUGGAAUUGCGGGAGAUACUGUCUGUCUUGAGUCCGGGAGAGGAGGGUGGAAUUCCCAGUGUAGCGGUGAAAUGCGUAGAUAUUGGGAGGAACGCCGGUGGCGAAGGCGGCUCUCUGGACCGGUACUGACGCUGAGGCGCGACAGCUAGGGGAGCUAACGGG